ensembl:lncRNA novel transcript
GGGAGAGAAAGGAAGUGGAGAACGUUCUUGCAAGAUGAUCUGUAUUUUCUCUCUAAAGCAGAGUUCAUUUGCUGAGAAUGAUGGAGAAAAUCAGCAUCUAGCUAAUCAGCUGACCAUGAGAUGCAGAGAUUAUCUGGAAUUAUCCAGAUUGGUCCAUUUAAUUACAUGAGUCCUUAAAAGUGGAAAGUGGAAGAAGAGGCAGAAGAGUGUGUCAGAGAGAUGCUGUGUGAAAAGGACUCAACCUGCCACUUGAGGCUUUGAGGCUGGAGAAAGGGGCCAUGAACCAAGGAUUGUGAGCAGCCUGUAAAAUCUGGAAAAGACAAGGCAAUACCCUUUGCUGUCUCAGGGUCAAACAUGCAACUCCUGCCUGCUUGUAUGGCCAGCUGGGUUCAAGAAGGAAGGAACCUCAUUGUUGACAGUUACCAGAUGAAUGUGCCCCUUCUGUACAGCUAAGAAAUGGAAUAGACAUUGGUAACCUUCCACAGGCCCACACAUGUGUUAUCAGCCAUACCUUAGGACAGAAGGAAUGAGUUUGCAGAAAGGAUGCUCUUCAGAACUCAUGAAGACAUAAGGUGCUUCAAAAGAGGAGACUUUCGGAACAUGAGCAGGGAAAUUGUCACUUGAUAGAUGACAAGCAUUGUGAGAAACAACAGUUUGCCUUUCUUCAUUCCCUUCCUGGUUAUCUUUCCUGUCACAUGAAGAAGAAAUGAAACACCAGAGAGAAUCAGGUUAUCAUCAUCUACACCAGCCACUGUCACUGGUUAAGUAUUAGUUUAAUAUUCCAUUCUUCAUAUAAGAUGGUACCUGACCCACCAUUCCCUGUACAUGCAUUUUGAAUUGUUUCCCACACAUGGCAUUGCAGGAGAAGUUUCUUGGUCACUGUGGGGGCUGCUACUCUAAAGCAGGAGUUUUCAAUCUUCAUUGUCCUUGUUGCAGAACCCUUUGUUUAAAAGCCCAAGAUGUAAAACAGAUGAAAACAGAGCUGCUUUGUUAGAAACCAGGCACAUGAGAGGGAUCACAGUGUUUCUCUUUAGCUCCUUUGAGGACUUUGAAGACCCCUGCUCUAAUGCAAUUCUAACUUCUUGAUUGUAACAAAAUUUAGGAACACUAUGAGUUUGCCCUGAAAGGAGACUCUCCAAGUGGGGAGGCACAGAUGAUCAAGGGGCUCUGUCUGCAUCCUUUAGCUUCAUAUUCAUCUUAGUUCUUGCACAUGUUAGAUCCACUCUCAUCCUCAUGACAUACUCCUGGUAAAUCAUAGGCCCUGAAUUUCUCAUUACAGAGCUGAUCGGUUGUAAUUUCCUGCUACUAAAAGCCAAGUAAUUACACCCCAAACUUUAAGUUCAAGGAAGGAUGGAGAUUAGGCUUGUUUUGUUCAGGAUGUCAUCCCAUUGCAUAAUGUGCCUGGCAUACACUGGGAAUUCAAUAAAUAUAUGUGGACAGAAUUGAAUGAAGGCUCACAAAUGGACAACCAAUGGGGAAAAGCACAGAGACCUCAAAAAAUAUAAAAAGAGUGCAAAAGUUAAAUGCAUAGCUUUCUAGAGCAGCGAUGGCACUCUUGUCACUAAGCUUAUGAACUUGUUUCAUCUCAUUAUUCGUUUUGAGUCAGAUGCCCCCCAGAGGUUCUACUAGCUUUCCCUGGACUCUUAUGACUUACCUCCUGGCCUGCUUUUUCUUAGUACCGUCUUAAAAUUACCUUCCUGGGUAUAUUUUAUAUGCCCUUCUCUAUAAUGCACCUUGGCAUGCCCAUGAUUAAGACAAAGAGAGCAUGAUACUUUCCCGCAGCUAAUGGAGUGCUGGCCUUUGGUUUCUGGGAAUUUUUGUGUGAUUAUUUCUUUAUUCUGUCUAAGAAUUAUCAGAAAUAGGCCAGGCGUGGUGACUUAUGCCUGUAAUCCCAGCACUUUGGGUGGCUGAGGUGGGCAGACCACCUGAGGUCAGGUGUUCGAGACCAGCCUGGCCAACGUGGUGAAACUUCAUUUCUACUAAAAAUACAAAAAUUAGCUGGGUGUGGUGGUGCUACUUGGGAGGCUGAGGCAGGAGAAUCGCUUGAACCUGGGAGGCAGAAGCUGCAGUGAGCCAAGACUGGGCCACUGCACUCCAGCCUGGGUGACAG